rnacentral:lncRNA from 1 species
CCCACGUAAGGUCCUUUGCCACAGCCAGGAUGGACCAGAGCACGGUGCUGUGACUGUUCCCAAGUCAUGCACCACACAGCCUUCCACCUCACAAAGUCCAGGAUGCUCAGCUGGCACCAGAGCAGGCCGUGCAGCUCAGCUGCUUCCUGGAGCUUUAGCACCCACACCUCGGCGGGCUCCAGCAGCACUCUCCCG